AAGUCUCCGCAAGGGGAUGAGUAAAGUGGCGACCGGGUGAGUAACACGUAGCUAACCUACCCUCGAGUGGGGGAUAACCUGGGGAAACCUGGGCUAAUACCGCAUAAGAUCCUGAUGUCUAUGACAAUGGGAGCAAAGGCCCGCAAGGGUCGCUGGAGGAGGGGGCUGCGGCCGAUUAGCUAGUUGGCGGGGUAAUGGCCCACCAAGGCAAUGAUCGGUAGCCGGCCUGAGAGGGCGCACGGCCACACUGGAACUGAAACACGGUCCAGACUCCUACGGGAGGCAGCAGUGGGGAAUUUUGCGCAAUGGGGGAAACCCUGACGCAGCAACGCCGCGUGGAGGAUGAAGCCCCUUGGG
rnacentral:rRNA from 1 species